rnacentral:pre_miRNA from 1 species
GAUUUUAGCUGAAAAAGUAGUCAACGACAAAGUUGUAUAACUCAUCAACAUCUAUAACUUGUAUUUUGGUAAUUUCUUCAUCCGACAAAGUGAUAUUAACAUUUUCACAAAAUUACAUAUAUCUCUUAUAGUUUAUAAAACUAUAUAAUAGAUAUUUACAUUUUAUGAACAAUGUUACAAAUCACUUUGUCGGAUGAAAAAAUGACCAAAAUUAAAGUUAUAGAUCUUGAUGAGUUAUACAACUUUGUUAUUGAUGAAUUUUUUUAGUUGAAAUC